rnacentral:rRNA from 1 species
UACGGAGGGUGCAAGCGUUACCCGGAAUCACUGGGUUUAAAGGGUGCGUAGGCGGUCUGAUAAGUCAGUUGUGAGAUUCCUCGGCUUAACCGAGUGGACUGCGAUUGAUACUGUCAGACUUGAAUCAGGUUGAGGUAGGCGGAAUGUGACAUGUAGCGGUGAAAUGCUUAGAUAUGUCAUAGAACACCGAUUGCGAAGGCAGCUUGCUGGGCUUAGAUUGACGCUGAGGCACGAAAGCGUGGGGAGCAAACAGG